rnacentral:rRNA from 1 species
UGCGUAGGUGGCGCGUUAAGUCCGUUGUGAAAGCCCUGGGCUCAACCCAGGAACUGCUUCGGAUACUGGCGCGCUUGAGGCGAGUAUGGGUCACUGGAACUGACGGUGGAGCGGUGAAAUGCGUAGAUAUCGUCAGGAACGCCAAUGGUGAAGACAGGUGACUGGGCUCGAUCUGACACUGAGGCACGAAAGCGUGGGGAGCGAACG